rnacentral:lncRNA from 1 species
ACAAUCAGAGGCAGGUUGGGGUGGAAUGAGGCCCAAUUGACACCACGAUCAUGCCCUUCCAAGACAUACUUAACAACAGUAUCAACACCGCCAAAAAGAUCUGUGUUCAUCUGACUUAGUCGCAGAAUGUCAUCUGCCGGUGAUACGGUCUUCUUUUUCAGGGAACCAAUAUCCCAAACUCGGACAGUCUGAUCUAGAGAGGCAGAUACAACAAGGUCUUCUUUAGGAUGGAAUGAGGCACACAUGACAUAAUGAUUGUGCCCUGUCAACACUGAAAUACAAGUACGUGACUGCCAAUUCCAUAUACGAAUGGUCUGGUCAUCACUGGCACUCACAAUCCACGGGUAUUCGUGGUGAAACUGCA